GGAGGAAAAGAAACUAACAAGGAUUCCCCUAGUAACUGCGAGUGAAGCGGGAAAAGCUCAAAUUUAAAAUCUGGCGGUCUUUGGCUGUCCGAGUUGUAAUCUAGAGAAGUGUUAUCCGCGCUGGACCGUGUACAAGUCUCCUGGAAUGGAGCGUCAUAGAGGGUGAGAAUCCCGUCUUUGACACGGACUGCCAGGGCUUUGUGAUGCGCUCUCAAAGAGUCGAGUUGUUUGGGAAUGCAGCUCAAAAUGGGUGGUAAAUUCCAUCUAAAGCUAAAUAUUGGCGAGAGACCGAUAGCGAACAAGUACCGUGAGGGAAAGAUGAAAAGAACUUUGGAAAGAGAGUUAAACAGUACGUGAAAUUGCUGAAAGGGAAACGCUUGAAGUCAGUCGCGUUGGCCGGGGAUCAACCUUGCUUUUGCUGGGCGUACUUUCCGGUCGACGGGUCAGCAUCAAUUUUGACCGUUGGAUAAAGGCUGAGGGAAUGUGGCUCCUUCGGGAGUGUUAUAGCCCUUGGUCGCAUACAACGAUUGGGAUUGAGGAACUCAGCACGCCGCAAGGCCGGGUACUUGUACCACGUUCGUGCUUAGGAUGCUGGCAUAAUGGCUUUAAUCGACCC
rnacentral:rRNA from 1 species